rnacentral:misc_RNA from 1 species
AAAAUUUUUAAUUGCUUAACACUAUAAGAAACGACAAAAUAAAGGCAAGAAAACGACAACAAAAACUUGGCAACAUUGCUGAUCCUGGAUGGCUGAAAAUAAUUAAGUAGCCAACUCAAUAAGCUGUUUAAUUCUGCUCAUUUUGUUGCUUGUCUUAAUCUAAACUCUUGACCAAAUAUAUAAUCAUUUUAAGUUUGUACAGACAGAAUCCCUAAUUUUAUGCUAUUAACAAUUGAUUAUAUUCUUACACCCUUCAAACACUGUAAAUUGCUAUUAUGAGAUUCACCCUGCAUGUUUCAAGCCAUUUCCGGUGUGGUAAAAGCAAUUAUGAAAUUAUUAACGAAGUCAAACUAUAGCAAUUGCUAGAUUCUUUCUGCCAUGCCAACAGCAAGGCAUUAUAUUUUGCAGAGUAAGAUGCCUGACUUUAGGGGUAUAUUAUCAACAAAUGUUAUGAUUCUGUCUCUAUGCCUCCAGAUAUGGCGCAAAUGGAAGAGAGAUUCAGACGCACACCAUUUGAUUUGGUUGCCUCACUGGCAUCUCGUGACUCAAUAUAAACAAAGAGUUACUAACUACACCUUCAUUGGGAUGCCACCUACAUGAAGAUGUGGUUCUCAAUUUGGUUAUUUUAUGGCCAUGUAUCACCAACACAUGAUUGGCGGGCCACAAAAUAGUGUUCAUCAGCAAAUCCUCGGUAAAAUAGUGCUCAUCAGAAAAUCCUCGGUCUAAUUAAUGUUGGUUAUGCUGCAUCCGCAAGAUGACACCCACAUGCAGCUACAUCUCGGACAAAUUUGCAUCUCCAAAUUUGUUCCAAACGCUAACAUUAGACAACAAGUUAGUCUACUUGUUAUAUUGGCCCCUUUAGCUUCAGAUUACUGAAACACGUGUCUGUGAUCUAGCCAACUAGUUGCCACCUGCAUGGAGAAAGAACGUUGAAAAUGCUAAGAAGACCACUCUUCAUCCUAAAGAUUCAGUUCAAAGCCAGCAUCCCGCAUUUCCCACUACACAACAGCUUUCUAACUUGGCCCUCAACUUAUACCAGCUCAAAAAUUUAACCAGUCAGAUGGAGCCCAGCCAACUGGUUGGUCAAAAACAACUGCUAUGAUAAUCCUUAUUGGAAAAUACAAUAAAGACAACUGCUUGUCAUUUAAUACAAAUAUAAUGAUAGACAGAUCACCUAGCACAUUAACAUGCCCCUUAAUUUCAUUAUUGAAACAACCAAAACUAACAAGAGGACUAGUAUAGAAAGUCGAAGGUUUAACUAUAGCCUAUAUGGUAUGGCUCAAUAACAAGAUACCUCUCACCAACAGAGAGACAACAUGAAAGCAUUUUCAGUAACUUCCAGUCAUUGAUGCUGAUACAGGCACCUGCUAGAUAAAACAAAUAUUGGAAAAAAGAUUGACACUGAAAUUGUCAAGGCUUCAAUCUUUAAAGAAAAAGGGAAAAUUACAAUUUACUACCCUGUGGUUUGGUGCAUUUGUCAGGUAGGGUCUUAAGGUUAAGUUUGUGAUAAAAAAAUAUCUUGAGCUUUAGCUCCGUUAGCAAAGAAGAGAAAUUGCCUAGAAGCUGUCAACAAAAGUUUGGGUAAGUUACAAUUUAGUCCUUGAGGUUUAGUGAAACCUAUAAAUUAGUUCUUAUAUUUUUAAAACCUAUCUAUUUAGCCCUUGACAUUUAAAUAAGCCUACUAAUUAGUCCAUUCGUCUAAUUUUCCAUCCAAUUUAUCAUUAAUUAUACCAAAAAUAUCAAAAUAAUAUUAUAAAUUUAUAAUAUAAUUUUUAUUAUAAAAUAGUUCUCAUAUUUUAUAAUAUUUCUUAUUUUAAUUAUAAUAUUAUCAUUUUAUUUCAUCAAUAUUCUUGGUAUACUAUAUAUUUGAACUAAAGGAAUUUAAUUGGAAAAUUUAUUAUUAUUUUAUAUUAUUUUAUAACUAACAAAAAAAAAAAUAAUAAUCUGGACACUUUUGCGUCUACAUACAUCCAAGUAGGGACAAUAUGUAGGUUUAUUAAAAUGUCAACGACUAAAUAGGUGAAUUUUAAAAAUACUAGGACUAAUAUGUAUGUUUUAAUAAAUCUCUGGGACUAAAAUGUAAUUUACCCUAAAGCAUUUAGGCAAUUUCUCCUCUUUGCUAAUGGUGCGUAACCUCGGGGUAUCUUUUCAUCAAAAAGUUAACCUCAAGACCUGAAGACCCUACUUGAAAAAUGCACAAAACCAUAGAGUAGUUUUUUAUAAUUUCCCCAAGAAAAAAAAGAAAAGCAAUCCAAAUAUGUAAAAUAAAAUAAUGGAUUCACAUAGCUCAUAAACUUAUGUUGGAAUUACCAAAACCCACAGAACAUGCAAGCUGUGUUUCUCUGCAAUGCUUCCACUCCUAAUGUCAAGAAAUUCGAUGUAAAGCCAUUUCAACAUCUUCAGAGAAGACUAUGAUUCCCAUGAUAGCUAAGCAGGAACCAGAGGGAAUUUCACCAAAUCACGAGUAAUACAACUGAUUACAUAAUGGAAGUCCAUCAUAGCAUCCUCUGCCCUUUAUUCCCACUCUUAAAAUUUGCUACCCCGCUAGAUUUUGGCAUCAUCUACUUCCGUUUUGCCUCCAGGAUUUCAACUUGUUCAUGGCAAUUAUCAACCCCUGUCUGAUGCCUCCAUUCCAAUGACCAGAUAUCACUCCCCUUGCCUGUAAAUCCUUUAAAAGUAUUUCACCGUUAACAAUAACACCACCAUCUUUGAAAAUGGAAUCAAUGAGAAUGCAAUAGGUUGUCAUGUUGGGCAAAAAGCCUCUUUCCUUCAUCUCUUCGUACAGUUUAAAUCCAGAUGCAACAUCACCAUCAGCACAGAGGCCUAAUAUGAGAACAUUGUACGCAACAACAUCAAGUUUGACACCCCAAAGCUCCAUUUUAUCCCUCAACUUUAAGGCCUCCAAGAUGUUAUUAUUACUGCAGUACAUGUGCAUUAAAGUAGUAAAAGUAGCAAGAGUUGGAAUGAGGCUCUUCUGAAGCAUGAAAUCAAGAACCAGCUUUGCUUCUUCAACCUUACCACACUUGGCAAGCCCUCUUACCAUAGCACUCUCAGCAACACUCUGGGAAAUCGCACCAAAUGCUUCCAUUGCAUCUUUUAGCUUGAAUGCUCCUUGUAUAUCCCCCAUUCUACACAUACAAUUAAUUAAAGUAAUAUACUGUGCGCACUGAGGAAUAUAACCCCUCUCCAACAUUUCAUGCAAUAGAAGAUGGGAUUCUUGGACAGCAGAAAUUCUGUUGAGUCCAUUAAGGAUGGAAUUGUGGGUAUUUACAUCAGGACAAACUCCAGAUAAGUUCAUAACAUUCAACAGAUCAAAAGCUUUUCCCAUGUCACCUGCUUCACAAUACUUCGUGAUAAGAAUGUUAAAUGUACAAUGAUCAACUACGAUACCUUCUAUUAUCAUCUUUUUCAACAGUUUAAGACCAAUAUCCAACAUAGCACACUCACAAAGUCCAAGAAUUAGAGAAUGGCAAGUCAACUUGUCGGGCAAAAUACCUGUCCUCAUCAUGAUAUUGUAUAAAUUAGAGCAUUUUGGCAAAUCCUUUUUCUUUGCAUAACCAUGUAGGAGAAUAUUAUAUGUAGCCAAACUAGGGGAUGCUUUAUGACCAUUCCACAUCAUUGUGAAGAGAUCGCCCCCCUUUGCCAUUUUUCCCAUCCUUGAGUAUCCAUCCAUAACUGCGUUUAUUGCAACAGUAUCAGGAUGUAGCCCAUUGUUUUCCAUCUCUUCAUAUAUAUAAAAUGCAGCCUUUGAUUGACCAACCUUGAAAAGACCGUCAACCAAACUGGUAUACAUUACCUUAUCUGGAGAGAGUUUUUCUUUUGCUAGCACUUCCUCAAGAAAAAGAAGAGCAGCAACCAGCUUGCCCCUUCUACUUAAUCCAGCAACAAUAAUAGUAUAUGUAUAACUAUCGGGCAGCACAUUACGUUGGACCAUUUCAUCAAAAAGGGCCACAACAUCUGACAUUCUCCCCCAUUUACAUGUCUCUGCAAGAAUCGUAUUAUAGGUAGAAGUACUGACAGCACACGGAAUGUAAUGGAGUUUAUCCAACAAUUUCUUUGCCUCCUCCAAAUUUCCACCCUUGCAUAGUCCUUUAAGCAGACCACCAUAUGUAAAAUGACUCGGAUGACGACCUAAUUUGAUCAUCUCAUCAAACAUAGAGAAUGCUUUUAACCAAUUGCCCAAACUCCCAUAGCCAUUUAUAAUAGAAUCAAAAGUGACGGAAUUAGGGAUUAUGCCAAUCCUAUGCAUGUGAUGCAAGAAAUCCUCUGCUUCUCCAACCUUUCCUUCUCAGGUUGCCUGAUGACCCAGUUGAGGAAUUUCAAUGCCAGCCUCCCAUGGACGGGCCUCAGUGAAGCGAGUUUAUAUUCCAUGUGGUUCAGUGACUCCCAACGCUCUAUGGUGAGAAUUGCAUAUAUGCUUUUCUCCAUAUCUGCACCUGCAGGGGUCAAUGGAUUGGUGAAUGCUGCACUUUUAUGAUCAUUUCUCAAUCUUUGUUCGGUGUAAUCAGAGAAGCCCACGUGAGAAAAGGUUCUAAAUUUUGAUAAUUGAUGACGAAACUGGGAGAUUGUUUUAGAUGUUGAAAUAGCUAAACAGGAGGGCAUCAUCCUUCUAGUAAACUGCUGGUUGAAGGAUAACGUUGAAGGAAGACUGUACACUGAUCAAAUUUGAUUUUUCCAUUAGAGGCUUUAGAAACUAAAACUCACUGGCAUAAAAACAAAAGCUUCUUCUCGAAUUUGCAAGCCGCUUUUAGUUGUAGAAUAUUGUCUGCACUCAAAAAGAAUCAUAAAAGAUAAAAAUAAAUAAAUAAAAAGAACUGUUAAUUUACAAAAUCAGAUUUCAUGUAAAUUCAUGAGAUUUAAGAAGCAUAUUGAGCACCUUGACUUCCCCAUAUUCAAUAGAAAAUUUUGAAUGUCAGUGUUGAACUACCAUUUCUAAUGGAACUAAUAACCUAAUAAUAAAAAUUUAGAAAACCAUAGCAAGCCAAUGUUUUAAAGAAAAUAAAAAUUAAGGCUUUGGUUCAACUUUUUUGCUUUGUACUUUUUUAUAUUAUUGGAUUCUUGCUGUGAAGUAAAAGCAACAAAACGCCAUCACCUAAUGCCAACCAUAGACAGGGGGGAGCAUCCGGUGAACCGAACCGAAUUAAGAGAGGAACCAAAUUGGUUCGGAAAUUCGGUUUUGUAUAAUGUCCAAAACUCUGCCUUCUAUCAAUUGUUUUCAGCUAAGCAAUACGGUGCGGUCUCACUACCGUCUUCCUCGCUCCCCAGCUCCCUAAACCAACUUACCAUUAUUAACAACAACAAUUCAAUUCACCAAACCAAAUCAACAAACAAUUCAAUUCACAGCAAAUUAAAUAAGUGAGAAUGACAAACAAUUCAAUUCAAUUCACCAAACCAAUUCAAUUCACAGCAAAGUCAAUUCACCAGUGACGAUGACAUUCGCAUGGGUAUGGAUUUAUUUGCAGCGAUCCACAUGGGUAUUAGCUUCUUGAUUUUUUUGCAGUGGGUUUGACUAUGGCGGAGUAGAGAGAUUGAACAGCUGAAAAUUUGCGACCAUUUGACGAUGAAGGGAUGGAUGCGAUGCGUUGCAGCAGCAUGAAGCAUGAAAAUGAAGAUGAAGAAAAGAAGCACCGAAGAAGAAGAAGGAAGUGAGGCGCAGAGGUGGGGUUCGCGUGUAGGACUUGCGUUGGGUCAUGGGUUUUGGAGGCGUGAGGGAAAA